GUGCUCACUUUGGUAGCACAUAUAUUAAAAUUAGAAUGAUACAGAGAAAAUUAGCAUGGCCCCUGUGAAAGGAUGACAUGCAAAUUCAUGAAGCAUUCUAUAUUUUU
ensembl:snRNA U6 U6 spliceosomal RNA